AAACCUCCCAGCACCUUGCACAGAACUUCAAAUCUCUUCCAUUUAAGCUUGUUAGUUGUAAGUAGAAGAAAUCAGGGAAGUAGCUGGAGGAAAACUAAAUGAGAGAGGAAAGGAGUCAUCUACUGUCUACCCUCCCCAAGGGCAAGGUAUGGUUGAUACUUAUUGUCUGGAACCUCGUCAGAUACCAUGGCAGGAACUGUAAACAAUAAGCAUCCAAAAGGCUGAGGGGACCUAAAGCCAAGUUGGAGAUGCAACGUGAAUACUGGGCAGUUUCUCUACCACUAGCGCCACCUGGGUGAUACACUGCUGCUGCUGCUGCUGCUAAGUUGCUUCAGUCGUGUCCGACUCUGUGCCACCCCAUAGACGGCAGCCCACCAGGCUCCUCUGUCAGAUUAGAGCAGAGGCUACAGAAGAAAGAAAAAGAAAGAAAGAAAGGAGGAAGGGAGGAAGGAAAGAGGAAGACAGAGAGAACGAAAGAAAAAGGAAGGAAGGAAGAAAACCAACCUGGAGAUAACUCAUAGCCUCAUAGCAAGCGCCAUAUGAGUCAUUUAAG
ensembl:lncRNA